rnacentral:rRNA from 1 species
UGCAUAUCAAAAGCGGAGGAAAAGAAACCAACCGGGAUUGCCUCAGUAGCGGCGAGUGAAGCGGCAAAAGCUCCACUUUGAAAGCGUUUCGACGCGUUGUAGUGCGGUUCAGUCUUUGAGUGACGGAUGACUAAGUCCCCUGGAACGGGGUGCCAUAGAGGGUGAGAGCCCCGUGAGUUGUCUUUUUAGCUCUUUAAGUCUUUACCAAAGAGUCGAGUUGUUUGGGAAUGCAGCUCUAAGUGGGUGGUAAAUUCCAUCUAAGGCUAAAUACCGGCGAGAGACCGAUAGCGAACAAGUACAGUGAUGGAAAGAUGAAAAGCACUUUGAAAAGAGAGUGAAACAGUACGUGAAAUUGUUGAAAGGGAAGGGUAUUUGGCCCGACAUGGGUUCUGUGCACCGUUGCCUCUUGUAGGCGGCGCUCUGCUGGAGCCUGGGCCAGCAUCAGUUUUCCGGCGAGGAUAAGAAGUUUUGAACCACAUUGUGGGGAUGAGUUUGAUGCUCGCAUGGGGGACUGAGGACUGCCGUUGUAGGAUGCUGGCAUAACGGCCAAAUACCGCCCGUCUUGAAACACGGACCA